rnacentral:rRNA from 1 species
GGGGUGAAGACAAAAUGGAUUAGCGGCGGACGGGUGAGUAACACGUGAGUAACCUGCCUUAGACAUUGGGAUAGCCUCGGGAAACCGGGAUUAAUACCAAAUAAAAUCAUAGGUGCACAUGCACUAAUGAUCAAAACUCCGGUGGUCUAAGAUGGACUCGCGUCCCAUUAGCUAGUUGGUAGGGUAACGGCCUACCAAGGCGACGAUGGGUAGCCGGCCUGAGAGGGUGAACGGCCACAUUGGAACUGAGAAACGGUCCAAACUCCUACGGGAGGCAGCAGUGGGGAAUAUUGCACAAUGGAGGGAACUCUGAUGCAGCGACGCCGCGUGAACGAAGAAGGCUUUCGAGUCGUAAAGUUCUUUUAUAUGGGAAGAUAAUGACGGU